AAUUGCUUUGUUUCUUGCUACAACGAGAUUCAUUUUCACUGCAGCGAGAAAAUCUCAGGUUGGGGGGGUCACACUGGCCUGGUUCUCGCUACAGCGAGAAACUCUCGAGUGGUUCCAAAUUUUAUGGUGCAGUGCCUUUACUUUGACAUGGAUUUUGACUACCUUUCGAUCAAAACUAGGCAAAGUGGUAAACAUAAAAGUUGUAUCCCAGCCUCUUAGCUUUCUAAUGGUCUAAAAAUCAAGGCAAUUGGACUUCUGUAGUGGGAGAUAUUCUUGAGAAACCAAAACAUAUGCAAACCAAGAAUGUUUCUCACUGCAGCGAGAAACUUGCUAUCAUGCUUGCUACCUUGCCUGAUUUUGACAUAUUUUUCACCCAUUUAACUUCAUGGAUUGAUCAUGGGUUUUUGCAACACUAUGAGGUUAUUAAUCAAAUUUUGAAAUGAGGGGUUUUUAGUAAGAAAUUAAAUCAAUUGCAUUGUUUUUUAAACAAGUGCAUCAUGAUUUCCAAGUUCUCCUUAUCGAUUGCUUGUUCUCUUCUUAUAUUCACUUAUUGAGUUUUAUACUCACAUUUUUAAACUUCAUGUUUUUAGAUUUGGAGGCAGUUGGGACCUAGAUUGAGUGUCCAUGUAUGCUCGUCUUCUUGGUAGGUACUAUAGCAUCUCAGUAGUGGUACCUUCACUUAAAGUCACUCUGUUGACGGUUGAGAGUUUUUUCUCUAUGUACACGUAUAUGUAAUGUAAACUACUAAGAGUCCUGUUAUAAAUGAAGUAUGUAUAUGUUGGAUUGAUGAUGAUGCCCUUAUGAGAUGGCAAUGAAUGACGGUACUUUGAGAUAAUACAAAUAUGAAUAUUCG
rnacentral:lncRNA from 1 species